rnacentral:rRNA from 1 species
CACGUAGGCGGCUUGGUAUGUCGGGUGUGAAAUCCCCGGGCUCAACCUGGGAACUGCAUCCGAAACUGCCUUGCUCGAGUAUGGGAGAGGGGAGUGGAAUUUCCGGUGUAGCGGUGAAAUGCGUAGAUAUCGGAAGGAACAUCAGUGGCGAAGGCGACUUCCUGGACCAAUACUGACGCUCAGUGCGAAAGCGUGGGGAGCAAACA